AGAGUUUGAUCAUGGCUCAGAACAAACGCUGGCGGCGCGUUUUAAGCAUGCAAGUCGGACGGUAGGGGUGUCCUUCGGGGUGCCUUGAGAGUGGCGAACGGGUGAGUAACACGUAGGUUAUCUGCCCCUGGAUGGGGGAUAGUCCAUGGAAACAUGGGGUAAUACCGCAUAAAGUCUAUCUGGGUUAACUGGGUGGGUUAAAGGCGCAAUUGUGCUGUCUGGGGAUGAGCCUGCGGUCCAUUAGCUAGUUGGUAGGGUAAAGGCCUACCAAGGCUUUGAUGGAUAGCCGGCCUGAGAGGGUGUACGGCCACACUGGGACUGAGAUACGGCCCAGACUCCUACGGGAGGCAGCAGCUAAGAAUCUUCCGCAAUGGGCGAAAGCCUGACGGAGCGACGCCGCGUGAACGAUGAAGGCCGGAAGGUUGUAAAGUUCUUUUCUUCAUGAAGAAUAAUGCGGGGAGUGGAAAGUCCUGCAGAUGACGUUAGUGAAGGAAUAAGCCCCGGCCAAUUACGUGCCAGCAGCCGCGGUAACACGUAUGGGGCUAGCGUUGUUCGGAAUUAUUGGGCGUAAAGGGCGUGUAGGCGGUUUUGCAAGCUUGGUGUUAAAGGCUCUGGCUUAACCAGAGUUUGGCGCUGAGAACUGCGAGACUAGAGUUCAGGAGGGGAAGCUGGAAUUCCAGGUGUAGGGGUGAAAUCUGUAGAUAUCUGGAAGAACACCGGUGGCGAAGGCGAGCUUCUAGCCAUGGACUGACGCUGAGGCGCGAAAGCGUGGGGAGCAAACAGGAUUAGAUACCCUAGUAGUCC
rnacentral:rRNA from 1 species